AUUGAGCGCUGGCGGCAGGCCUAACACAUGCAAGUCGAGCGGGGUUUUCGGACCUAGCGGCGGACGGGUGAGUAAUGCGUAGGAAGCUACCCGAUAGAGGGGGAUACCAGUUGGAAACGACUGUUAAUACCGCAUAAUGUCUACGGACCAAAGUGUGGGACCUUCGGGCCACAUGCUAUCGGAUGCGCCUACGUGGGAUUAGCUAGUUGGUGAGGUAAUGGCUCACCAAGGCGACGAUCCCUAGCUGGUUUGAGAGGAUGAUCAGCCACACUGGAACUGAGACACGGUCCAGACUCCUACGGGAGGCAGCAGUGGGGAAUAUUGGACAACGGGCGCAAGCCUGAUCCAGCCAUGCCGCGUGUGUGAAGAAGGCCUUCGGGUUGUAAAGCACUUUCAGUAGGGAGGAAGGGUGUUGUGUUAAUAGCACAGCAUUUUGACGUUACCUACAGAAGAAGCACCGGCUAACUCUGUGCCAGCCGCCGCGGUAACAC
rnacentral:rRNA from 1 species